UCUAUAAUAGUUUAUCUAAAACUUUAAUUUUGUAAAUUAAAAUAAAAUAAUUAUAUUAUUUUUAUAGAU
rnacentral:tRNA from 1 species